rnacentral:snoRNA from 1 species
CUGCUAAUGAUGAGAUAUUCAUCCUUGCCCUGCGAGCUGUAGAAGGGAGAUUCGAUGAGGAUUACCUAAUCGAUGUCGCUUCCACAGCCAUGAACAGUGUUGGCCUCUGAAGCGG